rnacentral:pre_miRNA from 13 species
UGGUGGCAGCUUGGCAGUCGUAUUUGUGGCGCCAUUUGCUUGCACCUUUAGGAGUGACAUCACAUAUACGGUGGCUAAACUGCUACACAGGA